rnacentral:rRNA from 1 species
UGAGGAAUAUUGGGCAAUGCCCGCAAGGGUGACCCAGCAACGCCGCGUGGAGGAUGAAUGUCGUAAGAUUGUAAACUCCUGUUAGAGGGGAAGAACAGUACCGGUUGGACCGGUAUAUGACUGUACCCUCAGAGAAAGCCCCGGCUAACUACGUGCCAGCAGCCGCGGUAAUACGUAGGGGGCAAGGGUUGUCCGGAUUUACUGGGUGUAAGGGGGGCGCUGGCGGGAUAAAAAGUCAGUGGUGAAAUCCUACAGCUUAACUGUAGAACUGCCUUUGAUACUUUUAUUCUUGAGUUCGGGAGACAGAGACGGAAUUCCAGGGGUAGUGGUGAAAUACGUAGAUAUCUGGAAGAACACCAGUUGCGAAGGCGGUCUCUUGGUCCGACACUGACGCUGAGGCGCGAAAGCGUGGGGAGCAAACA